GCCGCGGGCGCGGCGGGGCCGGGCGGCGGCCAAGGGGCGGCUCUGCGGGCGGGGGCGGCGGCGCGACCUCCCCGGCCCUCCCCUCCUUCGGCCCCGGAGGGAGCGCAGGGUCACCUGAACAAGGCUUGCACGGACACAUUUGGCCAAGAGCAAAUCUAAGUACAUUCUGGUGAGGAUGAAAAGCGCUGCAGAGACAGGCUACUGCUUCAACAUCAGGAGACUCCGGCUGC